rnacentral:rRNA from 1 species
CUAUGCGCCUUGCCAGCCCGCUCAGGUGUGCCAGCCGCCGCGGUAAUACAGAGGUCUCAAGCGUUGUUCGGAAUCACUGGGCGUAAAGCGUGCGUAGGCGGUUUCGUAAGUCGUGUGUGAAAGGCGGGGCUCAACCCCCGGACUGCACAUGAUACUGCGAGACUAGAGUAAUGGAGGGGGAACCGGAAUUCUCGGUGUAGCAGUGAAAUGCGUAGAUAUCGAGAGGAACACUCGUGGCGAAGGCGGGUUCCUGGACAUUAACUGACGCUGAGGCACGAAAGGCCAGGGGAGCGAAAGGG